AUGAAAUAGAACUAACUUUAAUUACAUAUGUAAAAUAGAUACAUGAACAUACUGUGAGCACACUUGUGACUUUCUGCAAAAUCUUUUCUCUGUAAGUGGCUCCAACAAUAUCUUUUCUACUCUAUUUCAUUCCCACUCCCCCAUCACAAGCCUGGGAAAAACAUCCUUGUCUUUUACAAGAAAUGACAGGAACAUAGUAGACUUUGAGAAGAUUACAUCACAACCAUACUCAGGAUCCAGUAAGCACUCAGGGCAGUUGGAGGAGCCAGAUGGACCACUUCCUGCUCGCAUCCAGAAAUAGGUAAACUGAUGUUAGUCAUUCGACCAGCAGUCAUCCUCUCAGUGUAAGGCUCAUGACUUGGUGCAGGCCUUAUUAAAUCAGUGAAACACGGUCCAUGGCCUUGAGAACUUGGCAGUCUAAUUUGGAAGACAAAAAUUAGUGAUUGCUGAGCAGUGUUCUGGGACUAAAAGCGUGCCGAGCAGUAAAGGAAAUCCCCAGGGGAGAUUUAAGUCAUGCCAGAAAGUGGGAGAAGUUUCUCAACUGGGGACAGGUCUUCAGCUGAAUGUAGGAGCUAGCUAAAUGAAGAAGAUGCACUAACCAGAAAAAUAACAGUAGCAAAUGGUCAUAUACCACUUCAGAAAUUGCCAAUCUUCACAGCAGGAUCAAAGAGAUAAUUGUAGAAGAUAAUACCAGAAAGCUUGACAGAUUUCAGUAUCAUAGAGUUUGGAACAUCAGCCAGGAGAGUUUGAAGCACUAUAAUUUUUCAGGAAAAGGUGGACCAAAUGUACACCUAUGAACACCAUGACAGUUACUUGAAAUGAACUGGAAGCUCCUGGGUUGGAGGUAGAAAAGCCAGUAGACAGGUUAAGUCAACCACCAAGGCCGCGCACUCUAAGGCCCUGGAUAAGGGGACAUCCCUGAAGGCAGAGAACUUUGAGAAGUUCCAUCCAGAGAAAUGUUACACAGUUAGAUGUCUGUUGAGUGUGUGGACUUUCCAGAUGGAGUGACUCCAUGUAAGCUCAGGGCUAUUGCUAAGGUAGGACAUAGAGGAGGGAGAGAAACAUUUGGACUGGAAUUUGCCCAACAUUCCUGACAGUUUUCUUCUUCAACACCAACAAGGCAAGAAAAUAUCAGUUAGCAGACAAAAUUAUCAAAAAGACCAAGUCUUCUAGCAGGGAGAAGAGGAUAAAAGCAAGUGUUAGAAACGGUGGUGGGAGACAAAAUGCAUGGUUUGUCUUCAAUGGGACUCUAGCUCUUUUCCCACAGUUCAUUAUCAUCAAGGAGAUCUUUUGGGGAUAUGCUGUCCUGGGAGAAGACAGUUACAGAAACCCCAAAUGGGUUGGUGGAUAAUCUGGGAAUCUUACAAAUACCCCCAUGAAGGGGGGAAAACAGCCUCCUUUACUUCAUCAGCAAUGACCCCAAAGUCGGGCUUGCAGAAUCUUGGGAGGCUGCUGCUCUCUGGUUCCCACGGUCUAGCUUACUGGUUUGCACAUGUUGUUGCCUUAACUGAACUCCUGGGGUGGGGACAGGGCCCUUUACCCUACUGACUUCCUCCCAGAGGGGAGGCAGGAACGUGAGGAGGACCAUGGGUGCAUGCCUGUUUCCAGCUGUGGUCCUGGCUGCAUGUAACUCCUACUGACUGAAUGACCUUGCUUUGUUGUGUGAUGUCCCCCACCCCACCCCUCUAGCAGUAAAUUCAAACCAGGGAGUCUGAGAACUUAGAGUACCUUUUGUCCUUUAUAAAUUUUAUUUUAUGUGUGUGUCUAUUUGCUGCUCUAUGAAUGGUACCGAAUCGGGCAAGUUUAAAGAACAAAGGGGAACCAGAAAAUGGACUCUUGGAGCUCUCCUUAGUAUCUAAUGCUUGCUUCCAAAAUGCACUUUUGACCAGAUCUGGGGAGAAUUCCCACUUGCCCCAACUCAGGCAAGACAUGAGCAAAGCCCAGUGGCUGCUCAGUGCUCCAGGGAGCCUAUGCUGUGGAGAUGAUGGGUGGUGAGUAUUUGUCCUGUUUCACAGCAAACACCUUUGAUUCUCUUCCUUUUCCUGUCCUUUUCUUCCCUUUCCUUGGCCCCUUUCUUUUCCUUCUUUGCUCUAUUUGUCUUAUUCUUCUACCUCUUCUCUCCAUUUCCAUUUCUUCCUGUGACUUUUCCUGUACUUCCUACGGCUUCUUUUUGCCUUUCCCCCUCUUCUUUUCUUCUUUCUCAACUAGAGUGAUGAAACGUGAACUCUGGAUGCAGAAUACUGGGCUCCACUCAAUCUCUACUACUUUUCUGAGUAUGUGCUACUGGGCAUGUCUCAGCGCUUUCCUAUGUCCAAGUUUUCCCAUCGGCCAUGGGAAGACACUGAAAUCAUCUACCUCCAGGUUAAGCAAGAUAAUGUCAUGCAUUCAGCACCUGCUUGGCCCUUAGAACUCACAGCAGGCAUGUAAGGUGUGACCAUUAACUUAUAGACUUCCUUUGGAAAACUUAUUCUCUCUCCAAGCAUUAUUCAUCAGUAUUAGUCAUAGAACUGUCUUUUGUAUUGGCUACUUUAGCCCCUCACAUAUACAAUCUAAAAUAAUUGGGUUCUAAAGGUAAAUGAUUACUAAGCUAUCUCACUCAAUUUUCUCAUAUCCUAAGAGAAAAGAAGAAUCCCAGUAUUUUCUUUUCUCGUGUCAUUUCCAUUUUCCAUGCAGGCAUAAAAGAAGCAAAACAAUAUCGACUAAAACAACAAUUGUUUUUGUUUUGUUUUGUUUUGUUUUUGUAACUGAUCAUCUUGUGCUUAAGGACCUAUGCAGAUUCUUGGUUUGAAUUCAGCCUCUGAAGGGAUGAGCAGGACUCUUUAGUGGCUACACCACCAGCUUCUGCAGCUGCCUGGUCACGUCAGUUGGUUGACCUGACUCGAACUUCCUUUGCCAGAAUGACUCCUUUUUUCCCAUGUGUUUAGCCUGGGCUGAAACAUAGUUGUUGGUUUUUCUGUGUCUCUUCUUUCUUCUUCACCCUUUCCCUUCUUCCAUCUUUCUGUCAUCUUUUUAGAAAUUGAGAUUUCUAAAACUGGCAGCAGGAGUUUUUGGAACACAGUGCAAGGCACACUGCGGGGAGAAUCCCCCAGCAAAGUCUAGUUUGUGUGUGUGUGUGUGUGUGUGUGUGUGUGUGUGUGUGUGUGUGUGUGUGUGUUUGACUGCUAUAGAGAUGAAUGAGGCAUCUUAAUCUGCAGUUUGGAACUUCUCCCCACCACACACACAGAUGAAUAGCAACAGCAUAGUGCAGUGUUUAAGAGGCAGAUCUCAGCAUUGAUCUGAGUAGCAUGUGAUGCUGGAACAGCCAGGAAUCCACACACUAAGCAUCAGCACUCCCCCAUCUGGUGCCUACACCUUCUGGAACACACAGCCUGGGAAACUGCCAGAAAGAAGGGAGCAACAGAGAAUAGAUUUGGGCUCCAUUAUUGAUCGAUAUGACUGCAAGUGACACCGUUGGCUGCUUUUAGUCCAUCUGUGUGUGGCGGUUUGGAGGCUGCUGUGAGUCUCUGGCCUGUUCUUUGUGGACCAUGAUACCUCCGUGCACACCCCAGCUCUGUCACUUGCAUGGUGCCCACUGAAGACCUAUAAACAGACCGCGGAAUCUGUCAACAGUCUCCAAACCUAUAGCAGCCCUGGGUCUGUGAGCAGAAGCAGGCAGAGCAGAGAAAGGGACAAGAGCAUAAACAAGGUAGGUUCUGCUUUCCUUCCUGGAGUUGGCAGGGAAGGGAUAAAAGACUCAGUGUGAGUCAUUUUCUAAAGGCAUCCUAUACUCUUCUGUCUCUCACAACAUGCCUCUCUGGAUCAUUAAUGUGUUUCCAAGCAGAUUGUUUUGUAGGAAGCAUUUAUUUACUCUUAUCAUUAAGAUAUGUGUGUUUCAUUGGAAGCAUCAGCUUUGAGGCCUAUAAAGCACAUGAUAGAAUUAGGCAUGCAUAUGGAAGGAGUAGUCUCUGCAUGGACCAGCGGCAGGCAGGCUCACCAUAUCAAAGAGCAAUGGAAAUACAAUUGAAAACACACUCAAAAUGUAUUACAUAAAAUAAUUUACUUCUCAUUCAGAACGACUUUCCAGACCUAUUUGUGAGACAGCAGUCUGUGAGUACAGGUACAAUCUCAAAGUUAUGAUAAUAUCAGGGUAGGGCAAGACCAAAGAGUUGUACAAACAAGAUCUGGAACUGUGUA